rnacentral:rRNA from 1 species
AUUGAACGCUGGCGGCAUGCCUUACACAUGCAAGUCGAACGGUAACGGGCCUUCGGGUGCCGACGAGUGGCGAACGGGUGAGUAAUACAUCGGAACGUGCCCGAUCGUGGGGGAUAACGAGGCGAAAGCUUUGCUAAUACCGCAUACGAUCUACGGUUGAAAGCAGGGGACCGCAAGGCCUUGCGCGGACGGAGCGGCCGAUGGCAGAUUAGGUAGUUGGUGGGAUAAAAGCUUACCAAGCCGACGAUCUGUAGCUGGUCUGAGAGGAUGAUCAGCCACACUGGGACUGAGACACGGCCCAGACUCCUACGGGAGGCAGCAGUGGGGAAUUUUGGACAAAGGGCGCAAGCCUGAUCCAGCCAUGCCGCGUGAAGGAUGAAGGCCUUCGGGUUGUAAACUGCUUUUGUACGGAACGAAAAGCCUUCUUUUAAUACAGGAGGGUCAUGACGGUACCGUAAGAAUAAGCACCGGCUAACUACGUG